GCCUGGGUGGCUCAGUGGUUGAGCGUCUGCCUUCAGCUCAGGGUGUGAUCCCAGGAUCCUGGGAUCGAGUCCCAUAUCGGGCU
rnacentral:tRNA from 1 species